GCCUCCUGCUUGCUCCAGAGCUGGGAGACUGCUGCUGGUCCCUGGGGAGCUGAGGACUGGCCGGAGCCGCAUGCUGAACUGACCGCAGAGGAGCUGCCAGCACUACUACAGACCUUCUACCCGGAUGAUCUGGACAACCCUCUACAGGACCAGAUUUUACUAUUUAAGUUCCAAAAGAUGACAGCAACUCUAAGCUCUUGCUGAUGACUUUGAGGUAACUAUGAAUGAUUUUGGCAGUAUCUACCAUCAACACUGGGUUGCCAUCAGGUCAGAAAACUGAAGGCAAUGACCUAAAAUCAUCAUUUAACUUUCAUCCUUUUGGAUAUGGACAUAUCACAGAAACUGAAUCAGAGACCAAUGUACUUUGAAUUAGGGGUAUUCUUAAUGGAUAUUUCCUGCUCUGUAUUAGCCCUGGUAGUAGACUACAUUUUAGUACCGUGUUAAAUAGUACAUUUUUAUUUUAAUACAUAAAUAUUUGUUUUUACUGUAUUAAACAGAUUUUACACUUUA